ACACCUUAGAGCUGCAGUCGUCCCCCUCUCUGCUAGGGUUCAGUCUUUGGCCUCCGUUGCACUUGUUCGAGCCAGUUCCGUUCCACCUCGCUAAACUGCUCUAGGAGCUGCUGUGCUUCUCUGUUCGUACCCAAGAACCCAGCUGCUAGCCCUUUUUCCAGAGUCUGCCCCUUGGUGCUUUGAGCCGCAGCCGUCUUCUCCGCUAGGGUUCAGUCUUGGUACUCCGUCGCACUUGUUCGAGCCAGUUUCGUUCCACCUCACUAAACCGCGCUAGGAGCUGUUGUCUUUCUCUGUUUACACCCAAGAAUCCAGUUGUUGGCCUUUCCCAGAUGCGAGAGGUACUCGAGGUCAACAUGGAAGGGAUUGGUUCCGCUGCAUAGUCUACCUGGGCUGGACUUCAUGUUUUGUUGGGCUUUUCUUCAGGGCUAUGGCCCAUGUACUACUUUGUUCUUUAGUACUCUAUUAACUAUGGUGAAGUUCUUGGAUUUCGUUUGUAUCCGACAUCGUGGUGUGCAUUGGUUUCUCCUAGCAUCCUCUGGAUAUUGUCAUGAGUAGCGUUUAUACUCCAAGGCUUGUCACUAAAUUUCUAUUUG